AACACUGUUAACCUGCGGUACCUGCGGAGGGAUCAUUACCGAGUGUGAACCCCCCCGUAAAAAAGAGGGGUUACCUCCCGUCCUUUGCUGGGAACCCCUUUCCAACUUGGAAGGAGGUUGUUUUCAGACCCUUCUGCUUCGGUGGGGUAACCCACCGGAACAACCUCAAAAAUAUUCUCAAUUCAAAACCGUUCAGUCCGAGAACUUUUUUGAAAAGCGAAAAAACUUUUAACAACGGAU
rnacentral:misc_RNA from 1 species